rnacentral:misc_RNA from 1 species
UUUCCGUAGGUGAACCUGCGGAAGGAUCAUUACAAGAGUGAGGGCCCCCGGCCCGACCUCCAACCCUUUGUGUAUCUCGACCCUGUUGCCUCGGGGGCGACCCGGCCUUCGGGCGUCGGGGCCCCCGGUGGACCACUCAACACUGCAUCUUUGCGUCUGAGUAAAUAUUUGAAUCAAUCAAAACUUUCAACAACGGAUCUCUUGGUUCUGGCAUCGAUGAAGAACGCAGC